rnacentral:rRNA from 1 species
UCGUAACAAGGUUUCUGUAGGUGACUGCGGAGGAUCAUUGUCGAACCUGCAAAAGCAGAGAGACCCGCGCACCCGUUCUCAAACACCCCCGCGGAGGGCCUCCCCCGACGAUCCUAUCCCAGGAGAGGAAGAGGUCCCCCGCGGCGCCGGAAGGGCGAGCUCCCCCGAAACACCGAGUACGGCGGGCGGACCCCGAAGGCCAUAACGAACCCCGGCGCGGACUGCGCCAAGGACCACGAACAGAAGCGCGUCCCGAGCCUCCCGGUCCCCGGGCGGCACGGCGGCGUCGCGUCGUUUCUACGAAACAGAACGACUCUCGGCAACGGAUAUCUCGGCUCUCGCAUCGAUGAAGAACGUAGCGAAAUGCGAUACUUGGUGUGAAUUGCAGAAUCCCGUGAACCAUCGAGUCUUUGAACGCAAGUUGCGCCCGAGGCCUUCCGGCUAAGGGCACGCCUGUCUGGGCGUCACGCACCGCGUCGCCCCCUCCCCCKCCUUCCUAAGGGAAGGUUCGGGGCAAGGGGCGGAMAGUGGCCCCCCGUGCGUCCCCGCGCGGCCGGCCUAAACGCAAACCCCGUGGCCGCGAACGGCCGCGACGAUUGGUGGAGUACUAAGACUACGCAUCGCGUCGCGUCGCCGCGAGCCCCGGGAGGAAAGACCCGAGAGAGCCUUUUAUUUAAAAGGCUCUCCGACCAACCGUGCGACCCCAGAUCAGACGGGACUACCCGCUGAGUUUAAGCAUAUC